rnacentral:misc_RNA from 1 species
GAUGAAGAACGUAGCGAAAUGCGAUAAGUAAUGUGAAUUGCAGAAUUCAGUGAAUCAUCGAAUCUUUGAACGCAUCUUGCGCUCCUUGGUAUUCUGAGGAGCAUGCCUGUUUGAGUGUCAUUAAAUUCUCAACUACACUGACUUUGAAUUGGUGUGGCUUGGAGUUGGGGGGAAAAUUGUUGUGGGCUUUUUGUAUAGUCUGCUCCCCUGAAAUUGAUUAGCGGUACCUUUGUGGAACUGUCUACAGGUGUGAUAAUUAUCUACAUCUUAGACAUCUGCUGGAAUGCUGCUUUCUAAACCUUACUUGUAUUGACUAUCUUGACCUCAAAUCAGGUAGGACUACCCGCUGAACUUAAGCAUAUCAAUAAGCGGAGGA